GAUUUGUUAUGCGGUUUUAAUUUGUCUUUCUUUUCCUUGCAUAAACCGCAAUUAUUUGUAUUAAUUCCUCAAACCACUGCCAAUAUUCUAAUUAAAAUUAAAGCAUCCGAUCUUCGGGUGAGGUUAUGGAUGCAUUUUUAUCUCUGCACUUAAUUCCAAACAUGUAAAAACCCCUUUUUGUAUGGAAACAUACCACCACAAUAACCUCACCCACAAAAUGUAUGAACAAAGAGAGAAAAAUUUCAAUAAACACAAACAACACCACGAAGAAGAGACCAGACCCACCGCCAAAGUUGACGAGAGAUGCCCGUGAAGAGAAGAUUAGAACUAGCCAACGCCCUGCCAUAAGAAGGAUCGUUGAAACUGGACUGGAUUUCAUACAUUCAAUGUAUUUUAUGAACAAAAUUGUCACAAAGCGAAUAAAAGAAUAUUUUA
rnacentral:lncRNA from 1 species